rnacentral:lncRNA from 1 species
UCUGGUCCUCCUGGUGGUUUAACUACAAUGUUAGCUGUAGGCCUGUCCUCUGGUCCUCCUGGUGAUUCAACAACAAUGUUACCUGUAGGCCAGCCCUCUGGUCCUCCUGGUGGUUUAACUACAAUGUUAGCUGUAGGCCUGUCCUCUGGUCCUCCUGGUGGUUUAACUACAAUGUUAGCUGUAGGCCUGUCCUCUGGUCCUCCUGCUGUUAUAACUACAUUGUUAGCUGUAGGCCUGCCCUCUGGUCCUCCUGGUGGUUUAACUACAAUGUUAGCUGUAGGCCUGUCCUCUGGUCCUCCUGGUGGUUUAACUACAAUGUUAGCUGUAGGCCAGUCCUCUGGUCCUCCUGGUGGUUCAACUACAAUGUUAGCUGUAGGCCAGUCCUCUGGUCCUCCUUGUGGUUUAACUACAAUGUUAGCUGUAGACCUGUCCUCUGGUCCUCCUGGUGGUUUAACUACAAUGUUAGCUGUAGGCCAGCCCUCUGGUCCUCCUUGUGGUUUAACUACAAUGUUAGCUGUAGGCCAGCCCUCUGGUCCUCCUGCUGUUAUAACUACAAUGUUAGCUGUAGGCCUGCCCUCUGGUCCUCCUGCUGUUAUAACUACAAUGUUAGCUGUAGGCCAGCCCUCUGGUCCUCCUUGUGGUUUAACUACAAUGUUAGCUGUAGGCCAGCCCUCUGGUCCUCCUGGUAGUUUAACUACAAUGUUAGCUGUAGGCCUGCCCUCUGGUCCUCCUGGUGGUUUAACUACAAUGUUAGCUGUAGGCCAGCCCUAUGGUCCUCCUGGUGGUUAUAACUACAAUGUUAGCUGUAGGCCAGCCCUCUGGUCCUCCUGCUGUUAUAACUACAAUGUUAGCUGUAGGCCUGCCCUCUGGUCCUCCUGCUGUUAUAACUACAAUGUUAGCUGUAGGCCUGCCCUCUGGUCCUCCUGCUGUUAUAACUACAAUGUUAGCUGUAGGCCUGUCCUCUGGUCCUCCUGGUGGUUUAACUACAAUGUUAGCUGUAGGCCAGCCCUCUGGUCCUCCUGGUGUUGUAACUACAAUGUUAGCUGUAGGCCUGUCCUCUGGUCCUCCUGGUGGUUUAACUACAAUGUUAGCUGUAGGCCUGUCCUCUGGUCCUCCUGGUGGUUUAACUACAAUGUUAGCUGUAGGCCUGCCCUCUGGUCCUCCUG